UAACACAUGCAAGUCGAGGGGCAGCACAAGGUAGCUUGCUAUCUGGGUGGCGACCGGCGCACGGGUGCGUAACGCGUAUGCAACUUGCCCUAUACAGGAGGAUAACCCGUCGAAAGACGGACUAAUAUUGCGUAUGCUCACAACUUGGCAUCAAGAAGUGAGGAAAGAAAUUCGGUAUAGGAUAGGCAUGCGUCCCAUUAGCUUGUUGGUGAGGUAACGGCUCACCAAGGCAACGAUGGGUAGGGGAACUGAGAGGUUUAUCCCCCACACUGGUACUGAGACACGGACCAGACUCCUACGGGAGGCAGCAGUGAGGAAUAUUGGUCAAUGGGCGAGAGCCUGAACCAGCCAAUUGGCGUGAAGAAGGACUGUUCUUAUGGAUGCUAAACUUCUUUAAUAACGGGAAUAACAAGAGUCACGGGUAACUCCCUGCAUGUCCCGUAUGAAUAAGCAUCGGGCUAACUCCGUGCCAAGCAGCCGCGGUAAUACGGAGGAUGCGAGCGUUAUCCGGAUUUAUUGGGUUUAAAGGGUGCGUAGGCGGUUUGUUAAGUCAGCGGUGAAAUCUAGAGGCUCAACCUCGAAACUGCCGUUGAAACUGGCGAACUUGAGUGUAGAUGAGGUAGGCGGAAUUCGUGGUGUAGCGGUGAAAUGCAUAGAUAUCACGAGGAACUCCAAUUGCGAAGGCAGCUUACUAAGGUACAACUGACGCUGAAGCACGAAAGCGUGGGUAUCAAACAGGAUUAGAUACCCUGGUAGUCCACGCAGUAAACGAUGAUAACUGGGCGUAUGCGAUAUACAGUAUGCUCCUAAGCGAAAGCGUUAAGUU
rnacentral:rRNA from 1 species